rnacentral:rRNA from 1 species
GACGAACGCUGGCGGCGUGCCUAAUACAUGCAAGUCGAACGAACCGCGACUAGGUGCUUGCACCUGGUCAAGGUGAGUGGCGAACGGGUGAGUAACACGUGGGUAACCUACCUCAUAGUGGGGGAUAACAGUCGGAAACGACUGCUAAUACCGCAUAGGACAUAGGAUCACAUGAUUCUGUGAGGAAAGGUGGCGCAAGCUAUCGCUAAGAGAUGGACCCGCGGUGCAUUAGCUAGUUGGUAGGGUAAAGGCCUACCAAGGCGAUGAUGCAUAGCCGACCUGAGAGGGUGAUCGGCCACAUUGGGACUGAGACACGGCCCAAACUCCUACGGGAGGCAGCAGUAGGGAAUCUUCCGCAAUGGACGCAAGUCUGACGGAGCAACGCCGCGUGAGUGAAGAAGGUCUUCGGAUCGUAAAGCUCUGUUGUUAGAGAAGAACAGCGCAUAGAGUAACUGUUAUGCGUGUGACGGUAUCUAACCAGAAAGCCACGGCUAACUACGUG